rnacentral:lncRNA from 1 species
CCAACCAUUCCUUUGUGGCAACCAACAGCCAAGAGUUGUCUUAAUUAACUUCAGCAGCUGAUUAAUUUCGGUUCAUACCUUUGUGACCAUCCAAUUUCGUUAUUUCACACCAUGGGAGCUAUUCAAAUUCAUUUGUUCACAUUUGGAAGCUGAUGGAGUUCAAGUGUUCACACUUGAGGGGCUGCUCAUAUUUGGUUUCACACCUAAUGUCCAUUGGAGCACUCAAGAUAUCAUUUAACACCUUCAAAACCAUUCAGCUGAUCAAAGCAGCUCAUUAAAAGUCUGUUCACACCUUUGGACGAAUUUGUUCAAUUUGUUUCAGCUCCAAAUUCAUUUCAAUCAAUCAAGUUGGCCUAGGAAGCAUCAAGGGACGUUUUGGAUUAAUCAAGGAAGUUUCCAACACCAUUAAGCUGAUUUGAGCUAUCCAUUUAUUUUUCCUAAGUGUCUAUUCGGCUGGAACAUUUGAAGCCUAUAAAUAGGUAUUUUGUAAACCAUUUGAAGGUU